GCGCCGUAUGUAUGUAGGUAUUUUCCAGCUGGAGCGGGAGCAUUAAUAUCAUUGGGUCCCCAAGGGAUUGGCCACAUGUGCAGUUUGCCGGCCGCCGAGGACAAAUGUCAGCGAACGGGACGCGGUUUUUCACAUUUUUAGCGAUUUCCACGAACCGAGCCCACAUCCCAACCGCCCUGGGCUUUGCAGUGGAACCACCCUAAUGUGAACCAUCCCUUUGUAAAUUGCCUGCAUACUUCUGAGCACCUGUAUGUGGCUACAGUUCCAUGAAUUUCUUGCCAGAUGGCUGGCAAUUUCCGCUCUAGCGAGGCCGCACUGUGCGCGAUGUGUGUGAUAGAUGUAACACGUAUCUGCGAGUGGAUGAAGGGCGCAUUAAUCGCCGCGAUGAGCACGCUGACAUGGCUGUCGCAGAUGAUAAUGGCAAUACAACUGACUGCACAAUGAACUGACCAUAUGCGCACAUAGACAAUAAAAUACGAAUGCGAAUGCGACUGUGAGUGGGCCACCCCCUUUUGAAGGCCGCCCCGGUGCAUUUGACAGUGGGCGAAGUUGCGCUGCAUGUGGAUGCGGAUGUAGCCAAGGACGAGGAGUGGGAGUGGUAGUGGUAGUGGUAGUGGUAGUGGUAGUGGUAGUGGGAUGUGUCAAGUAGUAGGCACUGGACAAACGUAGCACAUUUAAUGAACAUGCCGACAUGAGUUAUGGCUCGUUUGUUCGCCUUUUCUUUUUUUCUUUUUUUUGGUCAGUAGUUGAGUAGUUGAGCUACCCUUGAAGUGGGCAUAUGUACAUAAACAAUUCAGGCGAUUUGAUUUUAUUCACCAGAUCGAAUUACGGGUGGAAAAACUUCAGUGGUUGGUUUCGAACAUGCGUGUGGGUUUUAAAAACUGGGUUUGCCAGUUUCGAAACAAACGUUUUUGAAGCAUCUGAUUGAUAGAUAGAUGAUACCAAGAGCCCAGAAGCUGUCUAAAAGUAGACUUUAAAUUCGCACGAAAUAUGGCAAAUCGGGCACACAGCUGCUGGUUGACAUCCCAUUUGGCGAUCUAUGUAUCUGCACGCUGCGCAUGCAAAUGAUAUUUCGCAUUAACUUUGAUGGAGAUGAGCGAAUUCCGAUUGCGGCAACACCAGACACAGCCUGAGAUACCGACACCCCAAUCGCAGUAUCAGACAUUCGGAAUCUUCGCUGUGGUUCCAUCCUGCAGCCAAGAGCCCAGCCCCUCGGUAGUAGACACAAAGUGCCAAGUCAGACGGAUGCAGACGUACAAAUCUCUCAUUUAGCAUACCGUACUUUGCAGCUCAUCUUUAUUUCUUGGCAAGUUGUGUGCAAUUCAUUAAAAGCGAAAUCUGCUCGAAU